AUUGAACGCUGGCGGCAGGCCUAACACAUGCAAGUCGAACGAGUGGCGGACGGGUGAGUAAUGUCUGGGAAACUGCCCGAUGGAGGGGGGUAAAUACUGGAAACGGUAGCUAAUACCGCAUACCAUCGGAUGUGCCCAGAUGGGAUUAGCUUGGAGGUGAGGUAACGGCUCACCUAGGCGACGAGCCCUAGCUGGGCUGAGAGGAUGACCAGCGACACUGGAACUGCUACACGGUCCAGACUCCUACGUGAGUCAUCUGUGGGGAAGAUGGCACAAUGGGCGCAAGCUUGAUGCAUCCAUUCCUCGGGUAUGAAGAAGGCCUUCGGGUUGUAAAGUACUUUCAGCGGGGAGGCGUUACCCGCAGAAGAAGCACCGUCUAACUCCGUUCCAGCAGCCGCGGUAAUUC
rnacentral:rRNA from 1 species